rnacentral:rRNA from 1 species
AUUGAACGCUGGCGGCAGGCCUAACACAUGCAAGUCGAGCGGCAGCGGGAAAGUAGCUUGCUACUUUUGCCGGCGAGCGGCGGACGGGCGAGUAAUGCCUGGGAAAUUGCCCAGUCGAGGGGGAUAACAGUUGGAAACGACUGCUAAUACCGCAUACGCCCUACGGGGGAAAGCAGGGGACCUUCGGGCCUUGCGCGAUUGGAUAUGCCCAGGUGGGAUUAGCUAGUUGGUGAGGUAAUGGCUCACCAAGGCGACGAUCCCUAGCUGGUCUGGGAGGAUGAUCAGCCACACUGGAACUGAGACACGGUCCAGACUCCUACGGGAGGCAGCAGUGGGGAAUAUUGCACAAUGGGGGAAACCCUGAUGCAGCCAUGCCGCGUGUGUGAAGAAGGCCUUCGGGUUGUAAAGCACUUUCAGCGAGGAGGAAAGGUUGAUGCCUAAUACGCAUCAACUGUGACGUUACUCGCAGAAGAAGCACCGGCUAACUCCGUGCCAGCCGCCGCCGUAA